rnacentral:rRNA from 1 species
UUCAGACGUGAUCACCCGCUGAACUUAAGCAUAU